rnacentral:misc_RNA from 1 species
UUUCCGUAGGUGAACCUGCGGAAGGAUCAUUCAUAAUAAAGUGUUUUAUGGCACUUUUUAAAUAUCCAUAUCCACCUUGUGUGCAAUGUUAGAUCUCGUCAAUCUUGGCGAGAUUUUUAUACAUCAACUCUUUUUUUAACUAAUUUGUCUGAAAAAUAUUAUGAAUACUUAAUUCAAAAUACAACUUUCAACAACGGAUCUCUUGGCUCUC